CGGGUGAGUAAUGCAUAGGAAUCUACCUAGUAGUAUGGGAUAGCCACUGGAAAUGGUGGGUAAUACCGUAUAAUCCCUGCGGGGGAAAGAUUUAUCGCUAUUAGAUGAGCCUAUGUCGGAUUAGCUAGUUGGUGGGGUAGUGGCCUACCAAGGCAGUGAUCUGUAGCUGGUCUGAGAGGAUGAUCAGCCACACUGGAACUGAGACACGGUCCAGACUCCUACGGGAGGCAGCAGUGGGGAAUAUUGGACAAUGGGCGCAAGCCUGAUCCAGCUAUGCCGCGUGAGUGAGGAAGGCCUUAGGGUUGUAAAACUCUUUCAGUAGGGAAGAUAACGACGGUACCUACAGAAGAAGUCCCGGCAAACUCCGUGCCAGCAGCCGCGGUAAUACGGAGGGGGCAAGCGUUGUUCGGAAUUAUUGGGCGUAAAGGGCAUGUAGGCGGUUUGGUAAGUUAAAGGUGAAAUACCAGGGCUCAACCC
rnacentral:rRNA from 1 species